CCCUCCGUUGCCAUUGGUAUUCAAUUCAAGCUUCAAUUCGGACAUCUCCGAAUCAUCCGAUUGUUUUCAAGACCACGAAAUAUUCUGAGGAGAAGAUCGGCGCUUUAAUGGAGUUUCGCAUUUGAUUGGAGUGCUUUUUCAGAGGAUUUACAGCACCAGCAAAUGGUUUGCUAGUUUGUUCAAAGGAGGGAGAUGAAUUCAAGAGUAAACAUCGGCCUACUAGACAUUUGAUCAUAUGAUCCACAAUAAGAAUGUUAGUGCUUGGAAUUCGAUGAUUGCUGCUUACGUUCGAGUGGGAGAUUUCUCAGAAGCUAUUGGUUGGUUUAGUCUGUUUAUGUUGAUCUCUGGCUCUGGUCUUCAACCGGAUUUCUGCACUUUGCCUCCGGUCUUAAAAUCUCGUGGGAAUCUUCUUGAUGUAAUGAAGAUUCAUCGCUUGGCUCUAAAAGGUUGGAUUUGAGUGGGAAUGUCUCUUGGAAUGCAAUGAUUUGCGGGUAUUGUCGAUGUGGAAACGCUAUAGAUGCGAGCCAAAGGGAUAUAAAGAUGGAUCCACAGUUACUAUAGUGAGUCAGUCUCUCCUCAAGGCUUGCGCUCAGGCCGGAUGAUGCCACGAGAGGAAUUUCGCUUCAGUCUCUCCUAAAGGGAUAAAACACGGGCAGGAAUCUGAAUUGUUUUGUUGCUAAUGCUUUGAUCAUCAUGUAGGCGGGAUUUCAUAACUCGGGUGCUUGUCAGAAUCAGAAGGUUUUCAAUUAGAUGAACUUUAGGGGUGUGGUUUCGUGGAAUUCGGUGAUCAAAGCAUA